GCUUUAAGAAGGGUUUGCCCUCGUUUUGCUUUCCAGGACUGCCUGCUGUGAAGAGUUACUCGGCGUGGAAGAACGGUGUUUUGAUCCCCAAAAGGCGGUUCGGAAGAGGCUUGUUCAUAACGCGUAUUUUUCAUGCAGCUCGAUUCCCUGAGCCCCGUUCACCCAGGGACGGCUGCGUCGGUGCGAGGGUGCGGCCAAGGGGACAACUGGAGACGCUUCAACCGAGAUGAGCACCAAAGGAUGCGCGUGUGGCCUGAGGACUGCCGCGUAAGGCUUCGCUCCCGACUGAUCCGGCCUUUCAAAUUCAGCUCUUCCUCAGGGCCAAAUUCUUCGGGCACGGGGCAGCCACCCUUCCAGGAAGGGGGUGUGGGAGGGGAGGUGUUUUGGGGACUCUCUUGCCCAAAGAGGGUGAUGGAAAAACGUGUUGUCACUACUCUCACUAACCCCCAGGCGGGGACCGGCCUCGGCUGUGCCGUCAGACGUGAGAACAGAGCAUUGUGUUGAGGAGAGAAAUGAGGGGAUCCCUUCUGGGGCUGCUUCUAGGACUGCCAACACCUGAGCCUGGCGCUGAAGUAGAGGAGGGUAAAACUGGGGCAGUGCUGACCAGGAGCAUGGUGGCUUCCAGCGUCAGACUUCCCAUUAAGACAACUAUGUUAUCAAUGUAUAUUGAAGAGGUCCUCAGGAAAGAGCAAGUCCUGCGAGCUAAUAGACCUAUUCCCAACUCAUAAAUCUGGAAAUGGGCUCGCUCUUUGAUCUCUGAGCACUGCUUUUGUAGGCGGUCACUGCUGUGAUAUCCUUAGGGCCGAAAGACUUCUCCGUUCCCUGGCGCUUUACAGUGUCAGAGGUGUUCCAAUAACUGUCUCGUAACAGCAACUAAUGUGCUUCCCCGAUGGGAAAAACGACUAGAGACAUUUCCCAGGCCUUAAGGCCUUCAUUAGGAGACAGAGAUAAGAUAUUUGUAGACUUUAAAAAGAAGGAAAGUCAGCUUUAUUACAGUAGAAAAAAAUAACUUGUACAUACUAAAUUUUGUUUGUAAUAGAACUUGUAAGACGAAUGGUGUUUGACUGCUAGUUCUGUAACAGUUGAUAGAAAGUCUGGGUUGUGCAGCUUUAUAAAAUAGGAUACGGGUGCGUUAUGACUGAAUCAGGGCAAUGGGCAAAACUGCCCCUGUCCUUAAUACGGCCCAGUAUUACAAAUAGAGACGCCAGGGUACGCGGUGGUUCGUGCUCAGCCACUGAAUUAUCCAUUUACAGAUGAUUGAGCUGUCUAGUAGACGUUCACACAGUUAAUCGUGAGGGGCUGACCCAGCUGCAGGUAGGCUUUUGUCUGCACUGAGUGGUUGCACACCUUUGAUGCUGACCACUGUUUGCUUCCACUCUCCACGUCCCGGUUUCCUUUCCUGCUCUGUCUGACCAAUACCAGCAUUUUGACAUAUCUCGGUGAAAAAUCCUCUUAGGCGUGCCAACAGUAUGUGCUGGACCCAAAAGCACAAGCGACUUUGAGGCAAGAGCAGAAGCCAGGAAUCCUGUUUCCCGGUCCUGGUGCUCGGAGCAUUAAAUACGAACUCUUUUGCUCUGUAGGAAUCUGGUGGCUGCUCUUAGGUAUUGGCUUGCCUUGAAAGGGACCUCAGUCUGAGAAACUUAAGAGGGACUUAGCGCUCUAAUUGUAACAGAUUGUGCUGUUGCAUGAGAUCAGAGUACGCGUCUUUCGCUGCCGCCUCCGAGGCGAGCGGGAUGGCAUGAAAGACAGCUCUUUGUUUCUUCUGCCAGGUUUCUCCCCUCCUAAUGUUGGCACACCUCACCACAGCUCCCGCAGAGUUGCAUCCCACCAAUGUGCUAGAAGUGAUGCCUGCGAGGGAUUGCAGCAUGCCUCCUGCAGGGAGAGAAAGCGAUGUGUCUGGAUUCGGCAGCGUUUCCUCUCCCCGACAAGGAGUUUUGCAUCCAGCUGUGCCCCCUUAAUCUGACAAGGGUGUUUCCAAUGCCGUGUAGGUGCCAGCACGGAGGUGGAAUUGUUCUAGCUCUCAUGGCUACAGCAAGGAAGAGCUUGAGAAGGUGACCUGCAUGUUGUCCUCACUUUGAUGCAGUGUGCAGAUGUCCUGAGACAAGAUGACAACUUCUGUGCCUCAGUGUCACCAUCUGUGAAACUACUGCAACGUUGAUAUUUGUGUCUGUCCCUGACCGUCAGGCCCUCAUCCCCUGUGGGACAGGGAGAGGGGUCCCAUGUUACCAGGAGGUCCGAAGGCCAACUCUGAGCCUUGCUCGGGCGAUAGCGAGGCUGUCCCAGUUGACAGUAGGUGCCUGGGCACCAUCCCUUUUGAGGGGCUGCCAGCGUGACCUCCUGUCCUGCCCGGCCACCUGUGCCCAAGGGAUUGGGCCAAACCCCUUCCAGGGCUUUGGUGCCAGCAGUAAAAAGUACGCGAUGGAUGCUGUCACAUCUGAGAGCUGGAGCAAUGCCGUCAGAGGCUGGUGACACCAGCUACCCGUGCAGGACGCUCCUUGUAUCGCCUCGUACAGCUACAGGGCCGCUAGUUAUUUCAGGUCACAAGGUAUAGCUCCCGCUCUUGCCAAACAGCCCUGUGCACAGAUCUGCUGUGGGGUUCACAUACGUAUGGCAAGUGUUUGUGUCCUUUCUGAAAGAAGACUCAGUCUUGCUUGCCUAGGAUUUGAUUACUUCUGUAUAUGUGUAAUAUGUUUUUUCUUUGAAAAUUGAACUGCUGUUUCUCAUUCUCUGAUUUUAGCAACAAGAAACAAAUAGUAUCUUGUGACUUGAACUUUGUGCUCAGGAGGGGGAUGUGCCUUGGUAGAGUAAGGCACUUCCUGAGAGGUGUGAGACGUGACUUCAGGAUCUCCUGGUACCGUUCGUGUAUUCUGCUCCAAAGAGUUGAUAAGAGCUUCAGACGCACAGAAAGCCUGGAAGAAAGUAGCGGUGGGGGAUGCAUAAGAAUCUAGCAAAUGCUUAUGACAAGAUCAAAGGGCUGCAUUUGCUAGGUCUCAACAGGAGCAGAUUUGGGCUGAGAUGCCCGGGUUCAGAGGGGACCCAGACAUAGCACAGGGGCAAGAGCAGAAUAUGUCUGAUUGCUGGCUCCCUACCUUCAGAGAGAGGAAGAUCAAGGAGCUGGGAGUGGAAGGAGAUAAGAGCAAACGGUGGAGGUGGGGUCAGGAAGGGGCAGGAGGUAGGAAGCUAUCUGGAGAGAGGAGGGGUUGGUUGGUCUAAAGCGGACGGGAUAUUUAGAGUUGAAUUUAGAUGCUAUUACACCUUAGCCUGCCUUUGAGAUACACUGGGCAUAGCAGGAUAUGUGUAACUGACGGUCACUUUUGCUCCUGAAAGGAGUGGAUAGUCUUACAAUGACUUCUGUGGCAGCAAGCCUUAGGCUUAAACAAUUCGUUGCUGCAAUUUAUUUUCUCUGCGCCCACCUCUCCGAUCUCAUGAUACUAUGAGAAAACUUAAAGCAUCUAUUUGAUGAGUUCAUCAUGUUGCUUUGCUUAAUCAUAUGCUCUGAAUGAAGUCUGUAGAACAGUCAUACCCCAUUCUUAGAGAUAUUUUCAUCAAAGGAGGAUUUUAUAAUAGUCAUUGAUCCGGGUGGUUGUGUAUCUAAAAUUAGUGGACUGUGUGAACUCCCAGUAGUUUCAUUAAUCCUUUGCAUGGGCAAAGGAAGCACUUCUGUCUUUGCAGAUGAAUAAAAAUAAAAAAUAAGAAGAAAGGAAGAUAAGAACGGAAAAGCUAAGGAAAGAGAAAAGGCCCUCUUUACCUCCUUUUUAUACAGCACCUACUUGCAUGGAGCCAGCCCUCCAGGAUGCAGCUUGCAUUUUGGGCCUGGUCGAGAAGGGCAAGAUGGUAUGGCAUGUACCAGAGAAGCCACGUCCUGUUUAAAUAGCACUGUGUAAUUGAAAGAAAAGCUCCAAACAGUCCUCUCUCUGCUUUUUAAGACUCUGUGGCCUUAGGAAGCAGUGUUAAGAAAUUGUUUUCUGCCAUUUCUUGGCAGACUGGGGUUUUGUGGUCAUAUAGUAAUGUGCUGCAAAAACAGUACUGCUCAAGCAUCUGCUGAGGCUCCUUCGUGGAGCAGCAGAUGCAGUAGUUUCUCCUGGUAGUGCCCUGUCCUGCUCUCCUGCCCAGCCUGACUGCAUGCAGUAAGCUCCUAAAGCCCCGUCCUCUGCUGCAUGUUCCAGUCGUCCUUCUACCCUUGCUUCACUAAUGAGAAUCACUGGGUGUUUGGUUCCUGUCCUGCAGUGUUUGAUAUCAGUCUUAGCGCCUGAGCUGCAGAAAUUAAUCGAUUUUAUAAGAAUCUCACUUUUUUCCUUCUUUCUGUUAAAGCUAAUGUCUCACGGUUGUUGAGAAAAUAAUCCAAGUAUGAAGCAAAUUUUGCUGUGAUGUUUCAACACCACAAGGCAAUACAAAGAAUCCGAACUUUCCUGGUAAUGCCAGGUGCCUGUUAGGAUGAGAACACGGAUCCACUGCCUUUCUCCGUCCCCGGGGUGUCUUGUGCUGUUAAACCUCACAAGUUUUCCUUCUCUGAGUGGUAUUGACUGGAGAUUUUUGCAGUUGUUUCCCUGCAUUUCCCUCCUGUUGCUGCUCAGUGCCUUCCACGUGCCUAGGCUGAUGCUCUGGCUUCAUUCUUGCCAUUCAUGCUAAACGUUUCCUGUCUUCUUUCCUAGCUAGUUUCGGAGACGAGGGACUGUUCGUCUCUCAUGAAUCUUGCAACAAAAUCAUUUUGUUUUGCUCUGGAAUUUUUUUCUGGGGUUUUUCAUUUCAAAGACGGUCAGACCUCUAUACAGCUUGGAAGAUUUUCAGCUGUAACAUUUAGA